AUGGGUAGAGGAAGAGGCAGAGGCAGAGGAAGGACGGCAGCCAUUGCCAGGAGCCAUGAAGACAAAGGAAGCAGCGGCGAAGAGGUGGUGCCAGCGAGAAAGAGGAGAGGGAGGCCGCAGAAGCACUUCGCCGAUAAAAUCGAACAGGUUGAUGUUGAGAAUUUCGUAGAAGACGUCGAUGGCGGCGAUGAAGAUGGCAAAGAUGUUAAACUGAAUGCAAGUGCUGGUGUGAAGAGAGGCAGGCCACUGAAGGAGAGCCCCAACAUCGUCCUGGAAGAGAACAGCAAUUCCAGCGUUCGAUCAAGCAGCGAUGAAUCGGCCAGGACCAAUGGAUUCAGGCAGAUUGGGAACCGGAGGAAGAGCACGCCACGGCGAGCAGCGGAAGCGGGCCUAGAAUGCAAGUGA
rnacentral:rRNA from 1 species